ensembl:lncRNA
CUGUAAUGGCUGUUUCACAUUAAGUUGCUUUGUAGAAUUAUAAAACAGCUGUUCUUCUGCUUUCAAAUAAAAUGUUGUCAUCUGCUAAUGAAUGAGAUACCAUCUGUAAUAAUUAAGGUUAUUCUACUUGUUUUUCCCCUGCAGCAAAACUUCAGAAGGUUUGCAGAAGACAAUAAGAGAACCACCAAGAAGGCUAUUGCAGUGUUGUCAAUUCCAGAAGUCUGGUACCAGGACUGCCAUUCCAGCUUUCUCAUUGCUCCUGGUGUCUGGGGCAUAUCCCAGUGCUAUUUGCCUGUUGAAUGUGUGGAGAAUAUCCUUCUGAAGACAACUGUCUCCUUUGUGUUGGAGCACCUGCCAUUAUAUAAAUAUUCAUCAGU